rnacentral:sRNA from 1 species
UGUAAAUGCCCUCCUUGGGUGUUUCCUCCCUAGACUUGACCGCGCUUUUGAGCGCGGUUCUUUUUUG